AGUUCCUGCAUGUGGGCAGUGUCUGAGUGUCCUGCGUGGGAGCAGUGGCUGGGAUUCCUGCACAGGUAGCCAGCCAAGAGUCCUGCUCCGGUGCUAAUGCCCGUGGUCCUACUCGGGUACUGGAGGACCAGCAAGAAGGAGGUCCUGCACAGGAGUCCUAUGCAGUGCAGAGGCUGUGAUUCCUGCACAGGAGCAGCUGCCAGGGGUCCUCUAAUCACUUAUAGAGAAACAGUAUUCCCACUGCUUGAAUUCCAGGUCCUGGAGACACAGGAUGCAGCCUCCCUUUAGCCUGCCAUCUUGGAUCCCUCAACUCCACUUAUUGAAAAGAAUAUCAUUGUAUUAUCUUGUCAUCUUCAUCAAAAAUUGCCUGACUAUAAAUGUAAAAGUUUAUUUUUGAGUUUAUUUCUCAAUUCUAUUCCAUUGCUCUACCUGCCAUCCUUUGCUAGGACCACACUGUCUUGAUGAUUCUAAUUCUUUCAAAUGUACAAAAUUAUGUACAUAUAUAUUUAUAUUUAAUAACAUAUCUAUGAUGUUUAGAAUUUUCCCUUUCCCAUAUGGACUUUAGAUUAAGGAUGAGAGCUUGUGGAAAUGGAGUAAAGAAAUAGAAAAAUUAUAUAUAUAAUUACAAGUGACAUUCAAGGCUUUUGAGGGCCAAGAAAUCCAGGGAUCCUGCUCUCUCCAUUCCUUCCUCACCAACCUUUUCCUAUCCAAUCUGAAUUACAG
rnacentral:lncRNA from 1 species